UACGGGGGGGGCAAGCGUUGUUCGGAAUUACUGGGCGUAAAGGGUCUGUAGGUGGCUUGCUAAGUCAGACGUGAAAUCCCUCAGCUUAACCGGGGAACCGCAUCUGAUACUGGAUGGCUUGAGUUCGGGAGAGGGAUGCGGAAUUCCAGGUGUAGCGGUGAAAUGCGUAGAUAUCUGGAGGAAUACCGGUGGCGAAGGCGGCAUCCUGGACCGGAAUUGACACUGAGGAGCGAAAGCCAGGGGAGCAAACGGG
rnacentral:rRNA from 1 species